rnacentral:rRNA from 1 species
CAACUUUCAACAACGGAUCUCUUGGCUCUC